GCCGGGCAUUGUGGCGUGUGCCUGUAAUCCCAGCUACUCAGGAGGCUGAGGCAGGAGAAUUGCUUGAACUCAGGAGGUGGAGGUUGCAGUGAGCUGAGAUCAUGCCACUGCACUCCAGCCUGAGCAACAGAGCAAGACUCCAUCUCAA
rnacentral:SRP_RNA from 1 species